rnacentral:rRNA from 1 species
UACAGAGGGUGCGAGCGUUAAUCGGAAUCACUGGGCUUAAAGGGUGCGUAGGCGGACGCGUAGGCGCUUUGUGAAAUCCCUCGGCUCAACCGAGGAAUUGCUUGGCGAACCACGUGUCUUGAGGUUGGUAGAGGUCGCUGGAACGAUAGGUGGAGCGGUGAAAUGCGUAGAUAUCUAUCGGAACGCCAAAGGUGAAGACAGGCGACUGGGCCAUACCUGACGCUGAGGCACGAAAGCGUGGGGAGCAAACGGG